CUAGGACGUUGAUAGGCAGGGUGUGUAAGCGUUGUGAGGCGUUGAGCUAACCUGUACUAAUGACUCGUGAGGCUUAACCAUACAACCCAAAAGGGUUUC
rnacentral:rRNA from 1 species